UAAGAAGAUGGAGAGAUGACAAAAUGAAUAAAGAAAGGAGGCACAGAAGAGGAAACAGAAGUAGCAGGUAUGAACUGGACAGCACCAUUGAUUUAUGAAUGAAAAUCUAAAAGUUUUUCUGUUUCAGGUGCAAAAAUCAAAUAGCCUUGGGCAGUUCUACCUUUGCAGCUGAGAAGUCCAUGGUAUGUCACCCAAGAAAAUAUACAUCUUGAUGAUAUGUCACAUGCCUACAGGUGCCAAGUGGAUCAUUUUACUGUGACAGACAUUUAAUUUAUUUAAUUGUAAAAUAACUCCCCCUUCCCCAUACGCAUAAGGAGAGUCUGGGCUUAAAACAGGGUUCAAGCACAAUGUUUCAUUUCUGCAGCACAGAAGCUGGGACAUACGCUUUGUAUUAUUUGCAGAGAAAUCAAAAGCCACAGUCAGACCAAUAAGGAUGGAAAAACUUAAGUGUCUAGUUAACUACCCAUCACACAGGUUUUCUAUGAAACCAGUUUAGAGGACCAGAUAGGAAUCUCAGGAUGAGGCCUUCUGAAAGUGCCUUUCUUUUACUCCUCCAAUAGGAUGGUUAACUAUGGGCUUCACCCUUGACCUUUACAUGGUAGAAGACUGGUGAGAUGUACCCUACCAUAAGUACUUAAUUUUGUCGUCAAGUCUUCAGGUAUCCAAAUUGAAGACAGCGAGAAGAGAUUCAGACUUAGUAUUCAGAACUUUCUAUAUCAGAUGUGAGUCAGCAAUCACAUCAUUAGUAGAGCAGCAAAAUAAUCUUCUUUUUGACCGGUGAAAGGGAAGUCUAGCUCCAUGCCACCGUGGGCAUUUCUUGCCAUAAGCUUUCCACAAUGAGGCACAAAUAUUUCUUGGAGACAGUCUGCUAAUUUUUGUGAGUUAGUGCUGCAAUCUGCGAUCUGCAAGCUGGUUAAGGCAUCUGAUGCUUCUCUUUAAGGUGUUACUGUGUCAGUUUCAUUAAGAUUCUAGGGGUUAUCACAUAAAAUGCUAGUAUGGAACAGAAGUAGAAAGAAGCCACUGAUCAUCAAAAUUAUCAUUAUAAUAUCCUUUCAAUACCUCCAGAUUAGCAGUUCACUAAACAUGACAUUUGCUUUUUGAAAGGCAUGUGCUCUGCAUGAACAACGUUUUAAUGUCUCAUUGUUUAAUGGAAGUUGACAAUGAUAGGUGAUGUAUAAACAGGCUGAAGAUACUCUGAAGAGAGCUCUACCUGCAUGGACAGGAAAGUCCUUGCUAAUUGCAUGCAAAGGAAGCUCGGGGCCUCUACUGGAGAACUUACAGUCUUUUGUAAUUAAUACUGUAAUUGGAGGUUGCUGGAAAUGCUCCUUGAGCUCCUGCCAGGGAAUGAGUGCUUCAGAAAGCUGUUGACGCCAUGCCGUACACCAGCUGAAACAACCUCCUCGGCUGCAGUAGAUGACAUAGAGCUCCUGGGUUGGCAAAACUCAUCUGAGCAGUGAAAUGCACAAAGCUUUUCACUUCCAAUGUUAUCACAGUGACAUCAGUACCAUUCAGCCAUCUGACAGCUGCAUCACCCAGGGUGGCAAGGCUGAGCUGUCCUCCCUCUACAUUUUAGUGCAGGCAGCCCAACAUCAUGCUCCUGCCAGCUGUCCUAGAGCCACCCAGCAGGGUCUGGGACAGGCUAGGUCACCACCAUGAUGUCUGCUCUUGGCAGAGGUGACCAGGCUCAUUCCAGCCCCACUAUUUCAGAUUGAAAAUGGAUAAAUAUACGCCAGAGAAGUCGAAGCUUAGAAACAAGGCUGCUUCCUGUGAUCUUUGCCUUCACUUGGGAACAUAAUUAUUGGCUUCCAGUGCACCAGCACUAGUCAUGGGGAUGCCAGUCAUGUAAUAAUAUCAUGAAGGCAGAAAUGACCACCAGAAAGGGGUGGCAGGUAAUUUUAGCUAGAAACCACAGGCUUAAACACAUUUCCUCUGGAGGUGAGCAGAUCUUUGCAGAGCAAUUAUUUGCAACUCAUCUGCAGUGACUGCGACCAGUGUCAGCUGUUAAGUAAUAAGUUAUUUUUAUCCACUGCAGCUCUACAGCAUCUCUGAGGGUGAUGGCAUCUCGCCAAGGCUUUGGAAGUGCUGCAUGAGCUGACACACAAAGACAAAUGGUGGAGGCAAGCCUGGAGGACAUUUCUGACUCAACUUUACGGAGGAAAUCAAAUCCAAAUAUACCAGGUGAUAUUUGGACCCCUACUGAAGUGAGUGGCAGUGCCAUCACCAAGGCUAUUGACCUUGCCCAGGAUGUGGCCAUGUAGUUGGAUAACCACUUCCUUAGAGAAGUCCUGUAUCCUCUAGAGUUCUAGGGACACAUAUAUUUGGAUCAAACCCUAUUAGUUUUGCUGACACAGUGCUUCCCUUGAAAUCAGUGGUUGGGGGUAUCUUUUAGCAGAAGAUGAACAGGAAGAUUUCAUGGGUUUGGUAUGCAUUAAAGUGCAUAUUGUACUG